GAUGAAGAACGCAGCGAAAUGCGAUAAGUAAUGUGAAUUGCAGAAUUCAGUGAAUCAUCGAAUCUUUGAACGCACAUUGCGCCCGCCAGUAUUCUGGCGGGCAUGCCUGUCUGAGCGUCAUUUCAACCCUCAUGCCCCUAGGGCGUGGUGUUGGGGAUCGGCCAAAGCCCGCGAGGGACGGCCGGCCCCUAAAUCUAGUGGCGGACCCGUCGUGGCCUCCUCUGCGAAGUAGUGAUAUUCCGCAUCGGAGAGCGAUGAGCCCCUGCCGUUAAACCCCCAACUUUCCAAGGUUGACCUCAGAUCAGGUAGGAAUACCCGCUGAACUUAAGCAUAUCAAUAAGCGGUGGA
rnacentral:misc_RNA from 1 species